rnacentral:tRNA from 1 species
GCGAGAGUGGUGAAACUGGUAGACACGUCAGACUUAGGAUCUGGUGCCUUUGGCAUAAGGGUUCGAGUCCCUUCUCUCGCA